rnacentral:rRNA from 1 species
UACGGGGGGGGCAAGCGUUGUUCGGAAUUACUGGGCGUAAAGCGCGCGUAGGCGGCUUUUCAAGUCAGACGUGAAAUCCCCCGGCUUAACCUGGGAACUGCGUCUGAUACUGGACGGCUUGAGUAUGGGAGAGGAACGUAGAAUUCCAGGUGUAGCGGUGAAAUGCGUAGAUAUCUGGAGGAAUACCGGUGGCGAAGGCGGCGUUCUGGACCAUUACUGACACUGAAUCGCGAAAGCUAGGGGAGCAAACGGG